rnacentral:rRNA from 1 species
UACAGAGGUCUCAAGCGUUGUUCGGAUUCAUUGGGCGUAAAGGGUGUGUAGGUGGUCUGCUAAGUCAGACGUGAAAUCCCUCAGCUUAACUGGGGAACUGCGUCUGAUACUGUCGGACUUGAGGACAGGAGAGAAGAGUGGAAUUCCACGUGUAGCGGUGAAAUGCGUAGAGAUGUGGAGGAACACCAGUGGCGAAGGCGACUCUUUGGCCUGUAACUGACGCUGAGGCGCGAAAGCGUGGGGAGCAAACAGG